rnacentral:misc_RNA from 1 species
CGGUAAGCCAGGAUUUCGAAAUCUAUACCAAAGAGACUUGUUAGAAUCAUGAUAUGCAUAAGGUAUCAUCAAGAACCAUUGAAUCUACAAUGCUGUUUAUAAAACCAGAGUAUUGCCCGUCUUUGUAAUAUUGAUAACAUGUGCAUUCUAGUAUAACGAAAUACAGUAGCAACAAGAUUCAAUUAGCAACAAAUUUCUGAGGUUCAGAUUCAUGUUCAAAAGCACAAAAGAUUUUUUUUUUCUAAAGAAGAUUAUCUUAAAAGGAAAAUGGUAAGAUGAACAAGAAAAUGGGGCACAGGAAGGGGUGAAAAAGUUACCUUAUCAGUAAUCCAUAGCUU